rnacentral:lncRNA from 10 species
UGGGAGGUUUCAGGAUCUAAAGUUACCAUGAAGUCAACCUAACCUCCUCUGGAGGUCCUCCCAGUCCUCCCGUGGCUGGCGAUGGUGAAUCGAGUUUCCGUCUCCAGUUUGCCAAGGCAGACAAAGCCGACACAAUGGGCCUGUCCACUAUCUUCUUUCAUAUACACAAAAUGUCAGCUCUUCCUGUUUCUAACUGGCAACAUCCCGCCUGAUGACCAGCUUAGCAAAUUAGAGACUCUCCAUGGGAUUCCAUCUGUGUCUUAGUUCGGGCUUCUCUAACACUGUACCAUACAUAAACUGGGUGGCUGAUUCACAACAGAAAUUGAUUUCUCACAGUUCCGGAGGUUGGAAGUCCGAGAUCAAGGUGCCGACAUGGUAGGUUUAUGGUGAGGGCCUUUUGUUCUGGUUGUAGACUGCCACCUCCUCAUUGUAUCCUCAGGGGGCAGAAAGAGGGCGAGAGAGCUCCCCGAGGUCCCUUUUAUAAGGGCAUUAGUCCCAUUCAGACUAAUGGGACUAAAUCCAGACUCUGUGCUGAGUGUUGUGGAUUUUUUGCAUGUUCAUCCUCCCCGCAGGCAACUGGAGAUGUAUUGUCCCCAGAGGGUACAAUAGAGAAUCUUCCGUCACAAGUCAGCAACCAGCAUAUGUGAGUGACAGCAUGUGUCCCACUCAGAAAUGAGAGUGUAUUAGUCCGUUUUCACGCUGCUGACAAAUACAUAACAUAGUCCGGGACGAAAAAGAGGUUUAAUUGGACUUACAUUUCCAUAUGACUGGGGAGGCCUCAGAAUCAUGGCGGGAGGCAAAAGGCACUUCUUACAAGGCAGCAGCAAGAGAAAAUGAGGAAGAAGCCAAAGCAGAAACCCCUGAGAAACCCAGCAGAUAGUGAGACUUAUUCACUAUCAGGAGAAUAGCACAGGAAAGACCCGCCCCCAUGAUUCAAUUACCUCCUCCUAGGUCCCUCCCACAACACAUGGGAAUUCUGGGAGAUACAAUUCAAGUUGAGAUUUGGGUGAGGGCACGGCCAAACCAUGUCAGAAAGGGAUGAAGUGACAGCAUAUCCUGAUGUGUGUGAUGGUUUUAUGAGUUAUUACCUAUUUCAAAAAUUAUUGCAAUGUGUAAAAAAGAACAAGGACUUGUACUAUCUGACUUUAAGGUUUACUAUAAGCUAUUACAGACGAGGCAUCAGGAGUGACAAAUAGAUAAACAGACUGAGUUAAGAGACUUGAAACUGAUCCACAGCUAUACGGUCAAUAAAUGGGUUUUCAAUAAAAGCAGUUCAAUAAAAGAAAAUAAAUCAUUUCAAUUAAUGGACUUUUAUAUGAAUGUGGGGAGACCAACAAUGUUAUUCUCCCUCACACUACACACAAAAGUAAUUUCAGGUACAUUACACACCAAAACGUAAAAGUUAAA